rnacentral:lncRNA from 1 species
CUUCCUUAUGCUUGACCUGUGUCUGUCCACUGUUAGAAACACCAGACUAUUAGCUGUCAUUCCAACAAAACAUCAAACAACAAUUCCAGUUGAAUAUGUUGAGGUCAAUGCCAUAUAUUCCCCAUGAUGCAACAUGUUUUAUUUCAGAACAGUUAAAUACUCAAGUAGUUGGUGAAAGUAAUAAGCCACAACGUUUAGAGAUUCAAAAGAAAAUACAAAGUUGAUGAAAUAAGGCGCUUUGUAGGUGUUUCACUUUUUUGUAAUACAGGAAGGCCUUAAUACAUGUUCAACCUUUCAUAAGAUCAGUUAUUAUCACACCUCUCAAACCCACUGUCCGAGCCUUUCUACAAAACCUUUGUGCAACACACUGGAGAAAAAGCGAAUGCAUGUUUCAAGUUGACCUUAUUCAUUUAGUUAGCUACCUUUCACAGUGAGCCAAACUGGAGCUGAACAAUGUUGUAGUAACAGACAUCUGAAAGGUACAUGUUUAAAGCUUUUUAAGGAGCACCCUGUGGAGCCCCACCAUUAGGCACAGUCACUGCCAUGCAGUCAGUCUCUACAGGGAAACAGUCACUGCCAUGCAGUCAGUCUCUACAGAGAAACAGUCACUGCCAUGCAGUCACUCUCUACAGAGAAACAGUCACUGCCAUGCAGUCAGUCUCUACAGAGAAACAGUCACUGCCAUGCAGUCAGUCUCUACAGAGAAACAGUCACUGCCAUGCAGUCAGUCUCUACAGAGAAACAGUCACUGCCAUGCAGUCAGUCUCUACAGAGAAACAGUCACUGCCAUGCAGUCAGUCUCUACAGAGAAACAGUCACUGCCAUGCAGUCAGUCUCUACAGAGAAACAGUCACUGCCAUGCAGUCAGUCUCUCUACAGAGAAACAGUCGCUGCCAUGCAGUCAGUCUCUACAGAGAAACAGUCACUGCCAUGCAGUCAGUCUCUCUACAGAGAAACAGUCAGUCACACAGAGUCUCGCUGGUGUAUUGAACCGGGCAUCACUGAGACCUCAAUAUGGCUAUUCUACCCUCUGGAUAUCCCAGAGGUCAAAGUGCAUAGACAGCUACAUGAUGUCUCUCUAACUCACCUGGCUGUAGAGCUGCUUGGCUCACUGCUACUAAAGGAUGUAGUCAUAGUUACUACUAGUCCUGCUAAAGUAUCAACAUGUUCAGGGAAAAGUGGAGUUUCUCCCAGACACUGAGCUACGGUCUGUUUAGAGUCCCCCUCCACUAAUGGUUUAGGUUUGGAUAUGGGGAGUGUAAGCUGAUCCUAGAUCAGUGCUAACUAAGGGGUGACUUGAGCAAGCGUGACAGAGUUGUGGUCAAAACUAAAGUGAAUAUUGAGCUUUCCUACUGGUUAGGGCUGUUGGAAGAUGUGUUGAUGGAGAACACACACACACACACACACACACACACACACACACACACACACACACACACACACACACACACACACACACACACACACACACACACACACACACACACACGUCAGCCUGUCUGUGGGAGAGCUGGGUUGGAGAGGUCAGAGGUUAGACAGAAGGUCAUCUUAUUCCUCCCUGGUCAGUCAGCCAGCUGGUUUUGCCCUUACAGACUAAACUCCCUAACAAUACACUGGUCCUCUGUAGGUCAGUUGGUAGAGCAUGACACUUGCAACAACAGGAUAGUGGGUUUGACUCCCGUGACCAUCCACACAUAAAGAAUGCAUACAUCACUUCGUGGUUUGAAUAAAAGCCUCUGCUAAAUGGCAUGAAAACACACCAACAGCAGACACAGUGUCCAUCAGCGCUACACUCACUGAGACUGGGGGAAACAAUGACUUAUAAAGGCUUGUUAGCUCAAUGGAAAAGUUCAUGAUGAUUAAAAGGUAUUUGAAACAAUUGACAUUCCAUUUAGUAAUAAAAAAAAAGACAGAGAAGUUCAGGCACGUUGUGAUGUUUUGGAAAGCAUUCGGCUAAAACUGCUGAGCCUCGUUAGAGAUGGUAGUAAGACCUUUUCAUUAUAAAGGGAUAGAAACUCAGCCAAUCGUUCUUUAACUGUCAAACACAGACUGACAAUCAGACUACAAAAGCAUGGAAUCAAUCAACUCUCUCACCUCAUAUCUCUCUCUAUAUGUCGCCUACAGUAUGACAACCCCACCUGGGAUAUUGAGGCAGACAGAGGACAACGCCAGGCUCAUAUCUGGAAUGUUCAGGUCAUUUGGAAUGUGCCGCUAAUUCUGGAAGCCUGGCUGCAGCAACACUAGAACUACACUAAAGGAGAUGUCUCUUAAAGCUUUACUUGGUCCUGGAGAGUGGAGGGGUCAGGGGUCAGCCUCCAGGAGAGUGGAGGAGAGAGGGGUCAGCCUCCAGGAGAGUGGAGGAGACAGGGGUCAGCCUCCAGGAGAUUGGAGGAGACAGGGGUCAGCCUCCAGGAGAGUGGAGGAGACAGGGGUCAGCCUCCAGGAGAUUGGAGGAGACAGGGCUCAGCCUCCAGGAGAGUGGAGGAGACAGGGGUCAGGAGUCAGCCUCCAGGAGAGUGGAGGAGACAGGGGUCAGGAGUCAGCCUCCAGGAGAGUGGAGGAGACAGGGGUCAGGAGUCAGCCUCCAGGAGAGUGGAGGAGACGGGGGUCAGGAGUUAGCCAUCCAGGAGAGUGGAGGGGUCAGGGGUCAGCCUCCAGGAGAGUGCAGGAGACAGGGGUAAGCCUUCAGAAGAGUGGAGGAGACAGGGUUCAGGGGUCAGCCUCCAGGAGAGUGGAGGAGACAGGGGUCAGCCUCCAGGAGAGUGGAGGAGACAGGGGUCAGCCUCCAGGAGAGUGGAGGAGACAGGGGUCAGCCUCCAGGAGAGUGGAGGAGACAGGGGUAAGCCUCCAGGAGAGUGGAGGAGACAGGGGUCAGCCUCCAAGAGAGUGCAGGAGACAGGGGUAAGCCUCCAGAAGAGUGGAGACAGGGGUCAGGGGUCAGCCUCCAGGAGAGUGGAGGAGACAGGGGUCAGGGGACAGCCUCCAGAGCUGCCUCGGCUAGCUGGUGUCACAGUGCAGGGUAAUAUGGCUGAUAGAACAACAAUACUAGGAUGUAUUGCUUCAAUUUGAACAUAUUCUCAACACCGUUCAAUCUUUCAUUACAUGUAACGCCCUCUAAAUAGCAUCGAUGGGUUGCUAGGGUAACAGUCAUGGUCC